rnacentral:rRNA from 1 species
GAGCCUGAGAAACGGCUACCACAUCCAAGGAUGGCAGCAGGCGCGCAAAUUACCCAAUCCCGACACGGGGAGGUAGUGACAAUAAAUAACAAUACGGGGUUCUUUAGGAUCUCGUAAUUGGAAUGAGUACAAUUUAAAUCUCUUAACGAGGAACAAUUGGAGGGCAAGUCUGGUGCCAGCAGCCGUGGUAAUUCCAGCUCCAAUAGCGUAUAUUAAAGUUGUUGCAGUUAAAAAGCUCGUAGUUGAAUUUCGGGGUUAGUAGGUUGGUCAUGCCUCUGGUAUGUACUGGUCUCACUGAUUCCUCCUUCCUUAUGAACCGUAAUGCCAUUAAUUUGGUGUUGCGGGGAAUUUGGACUGUUACUUUGAAAAAAUUAGAGUGUUUAAAGCAAGCUAACGCUUGAAUACAUUAGCAUGGAAUAAUGAAAUAGGACGUUCGAUCUUAUUUUGUUGGUUUCUAGGAUUGACGUAAUGAUUAAUAGGGAUAGUUGGGGGCAUUAGUAUUCAAUUGUCAGAGGUGAAAUUCUUGGAUUUAUUGAAGACUAACUACUGCGAAAGCAUUUGCCAAGGAUGUUUUCAUUAAUCAAGAACGAAAGUUAGGGGAUCGAAGACGAUCAGAUACCGUCGUAGUCUUAACCAUAAACUAUGCCGACUAGGGAUCGGAUGAUGUUAAUUUUUUAAUGACUCAUUCGGCGCCUUACGGGA